UUCCGCCCCGCCCUCUCCUCUCGUGUCUCUCGAAUCUUCCCUUUCCCGCUCGUCUCCUCCUUGCCUCCAUGGAAACCCUAAUCCGUUGUCCAGUCCAUGAUAUAUCCGGCGUCCUCUACAUCUGAAACCCCGUUCUAGUCUUCCUCGGGCACUCAUACCUUGGCAUGACGGCUAAAGAACCCGAUCUUCGACAUGGUUAAUUUCUUGUUGCAGCACUAUUGUUUAUGCCUAAUGCCCCUUUGUGCUUGAAUCCAUGAAUACAUUGGACCUGGCUAUUUUGGUGGAAACUUCCCGACUUGGCACAUUGGUUCCUUAUUUUAGGGUGACAUGACCCCAUGCCGGUGCCUUCCAAAUGUCUUAGCCUUGACACCUUGUCUGUGCUAACCUUUUUAAUGGAGCAUUCAACCAAGAACAGGUACCUAGUCUCGCAUUAUCCCCAUAUUAUGAACUAACAAAUUAGUAUCCAUCCCAACUAUUUGGGAGUAGGUUUUGUUGAUCAUGUUUGGUUUGAGGUGAUGUCUAUUUUAUAUCCCUUAUGUGAUCUCUCUAAUCUUCUAUCACUCUCCCAACUGUUUUAGAUCAUCAUUUGACAUGGUUAAUGUGAUCCAAAUUAUGUCAAGAAAGAGAAGUUGAUUGUGGGUAUAUUAUGGGUACAAUAUAGAUUUACUCUUAAAUGAAUAAUUUGAUAUUAUCUUAUAUUAUUGAGACCUUUA